UUUCCGUAGGUGAACCUGCGGAAGGAUCAUUAAAAAAUUUGGGGUAUUUAUACCUCUUUUGUAUUUAAAACCCAACUCUUUAAACUUGAAUUUUUUUUAAUAAAAUUAAAACUUUCAACAACGGAUCUCUUGGCUCUC
rnacentral:misc_RNA from 1 species